UUGGGGUGGGGUGACUGCGUACCUUUUGUAUAAUGGGUCAGCGACUUAUAUUCUGUAGCAAGGUUAACCGUAUAGGGGAGCCGAAGGGAAACCGAGUCUUAACUGGGCGUUAAGUUGCAGGGUAUAGACCCGAAACCCGGUGAUCUAGCCAUGGGCAGGUUGAAGGUUGGGUAACACUAACUGGAGGACCGAACCGACUAAUGUUGAAAAAUUAGCGGAUGACUUGUGGCUGGGGGUGAAAGGCCAAUCAAACCGGGAGAUAGCUGGUUCUCCCCGAAAGCUAUUUAGGUAGCGCCUCGUGAACUCAUCUUCGGGGGUAGAGCACUGUUUCGGCUAGGGGGUCAUCCCGACUUACCAACCCGAUGCAAACUGCGAAUACCGAAGAAUGUUAUCACGGGAGACACACGGCGGGUGCUAACGUCCGUCGUGAAGAGGGAAACAACCCAGACCGCCAGCUAAGGUCCCAAAGUCACAGUUAAGUGGGAAACGAUGUGGGAAGGCUCAGACAGCCAGGAUGUUGGCUUAGAAGCAGCCAUCAUUUAAAGAAAGCGUAAUAGCUCACUGGUCGAGUCGGCCUGCGCGGAAGAUGUAACGGGGCUAAACUGUGCACCGAAGCUGCGGCAGCGACGCUUAUGCGUUGUUGGGUAGGGGAGCGUUCUGUAAGCCUGCGAAGGUGUCCUGUGAGGGAUGCUGGAGGUAUCAGAAGUGCGAAUGCUGACAUAAGUAACGAUAA
rnacentral:rRNA from 2 species